rnacentral:lncRNA from 1 species
AUCCCUGAGCCCUAGGAUUAAAAGUCAAGACAAAAGCCCGCUGGCCUUGGGUGACCCUCUCUGUCCUGGGAUUCCUGUACUGCUACUCCCACGUGGGCAUUGCCUGGGCCCAGACCUACGCCACGGACUAAUGCUGUUGGGCCCAGGCCAGUCCUUGUUGCUGGCCUCCAAGGCAAAUAGUGCUUCACCCUGACCUCUCACUCCAGGACAGCCUCUAAGGGAUUUGAUCUGCUCAUCUUCAGUUGAAUGCCCUCACUCCAAGACUGGAUGCUGGAUCUCAUAGAAAAUUCACAGCCAGACAAUCUUCUAAUCUGGAGUCUUUGAGAUCUUCUACCCCAACUCAUCAUUUUCCUAUUGAGGAAACGGGUCCAGGGCAGUCGUGUGUCUUACCCAGCUACACAGGGUGACAUUUUGGUCUAGAACCUAGUCUCAUGAGCCCUUUGCAUUCUUUCCCCUUAAGCAAGAAUAGAAUGUAGUGGAAAUUUAUUGAUUGAGACACAGAAAUCCUGAUUAGUGAUAGGCCUGUCUUCUGGGCAAUAUUUCUAAAAUAUUUGAGUGACAUUGAUGUUUAAGUGACCUCCUUCAUCACAUCCUGCAGUAUCUCCAGAAGCAGCACUAGGGUUUGAGUUUCAUGCUUCAGCCCCUCUGUAGGAAUGAGACCAAGCCACAGCUGUCUUUUGAAUUACGUAGUCGAAGAAGACGGUAGCAGCCCUGUAGCAUUCUAAGGCAUCUAUACCCAAGGAGUCCUGUGAUCUGAGCUUCAGCAGGGUGAUCUACAUUUGGGUGCUUGUUUCUGAGAUUUGCAGAGAAGUAUAACAUGGUAGUUCCUCUACCUUACAGUUAAUCGUUUCUUAAUAAAGAAGCAGAAUUUAGAAACCACAGGAUAGUGUACCCACAGAUGGGUGUUAUCAAGGCCAGUCAUGAGGAUGGUGUCCUGGAGUCUUGUCCACCCUCUCCAUACAAGUCUCAAAAGUCAUCCUCCUACUCAGUGAUUCACGUUUAGUGGUUUAUAUUAUUAAGGUUUGAUUCAAACAGAGCCUUUUCUGUCCUGUAGAUAAUCUACAUGUUUGUAGAAUUAUUUUGAAUAUGUUUGAGGAAAAUGUUUAAAAUCUAAAUAUACUCACAUAACUUGAUUAUUCACUCCUCUGAAAAGAUGCUGGAUAGGCUACCAAAGUUCCCAAGUGGUAGAUAAUUCAGAAGACUUGUUUGAAUUUGGAUUUUUUUUUUUUUUGGAGUGGGGAAGGGUAUAAAGGAGGCUUAAAAUUUGAAUCCAUAAUAUAUCUAAUUACAGGAGAAUUUACAACAUCUCAAGUACGUAAAUUAAGUUGUCAUUGAGUGAAAGGUUCACUUGGACCUAGUGCUGCCUCCUGUUUAUUACAUAGCAUGGCCCUUAUGUCUUGAGUUGAGGUUAUCAUCUCAAUGAGGCUUUAGCUCCUAGAGUACAGGACCAUUUUGUUGAUUGUCUUUCUUCAUAGCUUCUCUGCUUGGCAAAGAGAUGGGAGGGGGCCAGAUACUGACUACCUGGGGUAGGCACAUUAUGUGUUAAAGCAAGACAGAGGCCAGAGAGGGGCAGGUAGACCUGCAUAGCAGCAGCCUCAGCAGCUGUCUUGGUAAAGGAGAGAGAGAGACAUGGGGCCAGUAAUUCCGGGGUGCUCAGAAGUUUUAGGAGGGGAUGAGCCUCAGGGAGGAGUGAGCACCUAAAUGAACGCAGUAAACCUUCAUGGACCAACAGUGAUUGAGGAUUUGUGGGCAGCCAGAGGGAGUCUGACUGAAGUUUACUUGGAAAGAAAGGGCUUGCUAAGAAAAAAGGGAGUAAAAAUGAUGAUAGGGAAGUGUCUAAUGUAUGUGCACAUAUAAGUAAUACAAAAGUUUUGAGCUCUUCCAAGUAUACCAUUUAUAUACAAACAAAUAGGUUUAUUCAUUCAUUAAACUACUUUGGAAGCGUCAGUGGAUAUAUUUGAAAGUGGUAAUCCUGAAUCUCUUUUAAACUAUU